UAAAAGAGAGCACAGCCAGGCACAACGCGC
rnacentral:piRNA from 1 species